UACGUAGGGUGCGAGCGUUGUCCGGAAUUAUUGGGCGUAAAGAGCUCGUAGGCGGCUUGUUGCGUCGGAUGUGAAAGCUCGGGGCUUAACCCUGGGUCUGCAUUCGAUACGGGCAGGCUAGAGUGUGGCAGGGGAGACUGGAAUUCCUGGUGUAGCGGUGAAAUGCGCAGAUAUCAGGAGGAACACCGGUGGCGAAGGCGGGUCUCUGGGCCAAUACUGACGCUGAGGAGCGAAAGCGUGGGGAGCGAACAGG
rnacentral:rRNA from 1 species